GUGUACAGUGUGUCAGACCACACAUGAGCUAGGAGUGCACACAGUGUGUCAGACCACACGUGAGCUAGGAGUACACAGCGUGUCAGACCACACGUGAGCUAGAAGUACACAGUGUGUCAGACCACACGUGAGCUAGCAGUGCACACAGUGUGUCAGACCACACGUGAGCUAGGAGUGCACACAUGUCAGACCACACGUGAGCUAGAAGUGCACACAGCGUGUCAGAGCACAUGUGAGCUAGGAGUGCACACAGCGUGUCAGACCACACAUGAGCUAGGAGUGCACACAGCGUGUCAGACCACACGUGAGCUAGAAGUGUACACUGUCAGACCACACGUGAGCUAGGAGUGCACACAGUGUGUCAGACCACACGUGAGCUAGGAGUGCACACAUGUCAGACCACACGUGAGCUAGAAGUGCACACAGCGUGUCAGAGCACAUGUGAGCUAGGAGUGCACACAGCGUGUCAGACCACAUGUGAGCUAGGAGUGUACACAGUGUGUCAGACCACAUGUGAGCUAGGAGUACACAGCGUGUCAGACCACACGUGAGCUAGGAGUGCACACAGUGUGUCAGAGCACACGUGAGCUAGGAGUGCACACUGCGUGUCAGACCACACGUGAGGUAGGAGUGUGUACAGUGUGUCAGACCACACGUGAGCUAGAAGUACACAGCGUGCAGACCACACAUGAGCCUGAGGUGUGCACAGCGUGUCACACCACACAUGAACAAGGGCAUUGCAGCUAUAGCAUGGCAUAAUAUGGCGUGAGACAUGGCAGCUAGGGCACGGCACAGUGUGGUGAGAGACACGGCAGCUCUGGCAUGGCACAGUGUGGUGAGAGACACAGCAGCUCUGGCAUGGCACAGUGUGGUGAGCGAGGCCAGUGAUGGCCCCUGGCGUCCAGCUGGAUCACUGUUAUGGGGGGGUACAGGAAGAGUCAGCAUGCACACUCGCAGUGGGCAGUCCCGGCUCACGGGGGGAGCAUCCUCCUGCCACGGGAACUGCAGCUCCAGGGCCCCCGUGCCAGGCCCUGGUGUCCUGUGCCCAUGGGUGGGCCACCUCGUCUCGCGGAUGAGGCAGGAGGAGAAGGCGUGCGCCUCGGCUGCACGUUCUGGGCAGCAGCUGAAGUCUCAGGUAGUGUGUGCAGUCCAGAGCGCUUGAUGGACGCCUUGGAAGCCUCGCUCUGGGACAAGGCACUCACGUCUGGGUGAAGACCACGGCCCGGCGGUUCCCGGGCUGUGACUGCAGGGCUGCCCUCCGGCACCAGACUGCCGUGCUCACCGUGGCCCCUGGCCGAGGUGAGCGGCGUGGCUCCUGCCUGGCCACAAGACUUAGCAUGGGCUUCUGGAGUGGACCGAGUUCAAGAAAGGAGCGGGACUGAGAGCCUGUGUCCUUGGGGUGAGAUGUCGGGGAAGCGCUCAGAGAAGCAGAGAGGAGAGAACCGCGCCCACCCUGCCUGGUGCUGCCCAGUCACAGCGAGGAAGCCCCUGGCCGCCAGCCAUGUCUCCUCCCUGCCACACGCAGCCGUGCUGUGCCGUGCUGCCCUCUUCCCCCGUCCCGUUCCCCAGAAGUCCCCAGCAAGCGCUGUGGCCCGGCGCCCGGGUGGAUGUAGUUGGUCGUGGCCACCUGAGCCCUCGGUACCUGGCCGGCCCGUGGGGACCUUGCCCUGUGUGUGUCCCCGGAAGCCACUUUGAACUGAUUUUUCAUAGACAAGAGUGUGCGCCCUUCCCUGGUGAGGGCGUCUGGCGCAGCCAGCAGUGCCGGGAUCGCUCUCGUCCCGGGACAACAAGUCACAACGCCCUGGCCGCUGUUCCUGGGCCUCCCCCUGCCCGCAGGGGCCGCCUCAGUGGUGGGCACCUGUGGACUGGCCCUGCAGUUUCUCCACACCGCUCGCCGGGGCUGCUUGUUAACUUUCGUCAUUCGGGACGGUGAUCUCUGUCAGCAGCAUGAGCACACAGCCUCGGGGGUGUCCCCGCCCUCUGUGCCCGUGACGUCCAGCGGGGGUCACGGAAGCCCCUGCUUGGCAAGCGUGUUGGCCGUGUGUGUGUGUGUGUGUGAGUGUGUGUGCAGCCUUCUCGGGGGGCAGUCAGAGCACCUACCACCCCAUGUGUCAGCUCCACAUAAGCGCCCCCUGGUGGCUGCCUGGAGCUGGCGUCCUGGGGCCGUCCACAGUUGCACUGACUUGCUGACCUCCCACUCUCCACUUCUGUCAGAAUCUGGGGAAGCUGGUUUGGUUUGGUUUGGUUUGGUUUGGUUUGGUUUGGUUUGGUUUGGUUCUGUUCUGUUCUGUUCUGUUCUGUUUUGUUUUGUUUUAAUUGUCAGAUAUUACCACCUCAGAGUAUUGGUCUGUCUUAUAAAAUAUGGUCUUGCAAUUACAUAUUUUUGAUUUUU